rnacentral:rRNA from 1 species
UUGACCUCAAAUCGGGUGAGACUACCCGCUGAACUUUAAGCAUAUCAAUAAGCGGAGGAAAAGAAACUAACAAGGAUUCCCCUAGUAACUGCGAGU